rnacentral:rRNA from 1 species
AGGUCCGUGUUCGAAAGGGAAACAGCCCAGACCACCAGCUAAGGUCCCAAAAUAUAUGUUAAGUGGAAAAGGAUGUGGCGUUGCCCAGACAACUAGGAUGUUGGCUUAGAAGCAGCCAUCAUUUAAAGAGUGCGUAAUAGCUCACUAGUCGAGUGACACUGCGCCGAAAAUGUACCGGGGCUAAACAUAUUACCGAAGCUGUGGAUUGUCCUUUGGACAAUGGUAGGAGAGCGUUCUAAGGGCGUUGAAGCAUGAUCGUAAGGACAUGUGGAGCGCUUAGAAGUGAGAAUGCCGGUGUGAGUAGCGAAAGACGGGUGAGAAUCCCGUCCACCGAUUGACUAAGGUUUCCAGAGGAAGGCUCGUCCGCUCUGGGUUAGUCGGGUCCUAAGCUGAGGCCGACAGGCGUAGGCGAUGGAUAACAGGUUGAUAUUCCUGUACCACCUAUAAUCGUUUUAAUCGAUGGGGGGACGCAGUAGGAUAGGCGAAGCGUGCGAUUGGAUUGCACGUCUAAGCAGUAAGGCUGAGUAUUAGGCAAAUCCGGUACUCGUUAAGGCUGAGCUGUGAUGGGGAGAAGACAUUGUGUCUUCGAGUCGUUGAUUUCACACUGCCGAGAAAAGCCUCUAGAUAGAAAAUAGGUGCCCGUACCGCAAACCGACACAGGUAGUCAAGAUGAGAAUUCUAAGGUGAGCGAGCGAACUCUCGUUAAGGAACUCGGCAAAAUGACCCCGUAACUUCGGGAGAAGGGGUGCUCUUUAGGGUUAACGCCCAGAAGAGCCGCAGUGAAUAGGCCCAAGCGACUGUUUAUCAAAAACACAGGUCUCUGCUAAACCGUAAGGUGAUGUAUAGGGGCUGACGCCUGCCCGGUGCUGGAAGGUUAAGAGGAGUGGUUAGCUUCUGCGAAGCUACGAAUCGAAGCCCCAGUAAACGGCGGCCGUAACUAUAACGGUCCUAAGGUAGCGAAAUUCCUUGUCGGGUAAGUUCCGACCCGCACGAAAGGCGUAACGAUUUGGGCACUGUCUCAACGAGAGACUCGGUGAAAUCAUAGUACCUGUGAAGAUGCAGGUUACCCGCGACAGGACGGAAAGACCCCGUGGAGCUUUACUGUAGCCUGAUAUUGAAAUUCGGCACAGCUUGUACAGGAUAGGUAGGAGCCUUUGAAACGUGAGCGCUAGCUUACGUGGAGGCGCUGGUGGGAUACUACCCUAGCUG